rnacentral:tRNA from 1 species
GGUAUAGCGCAGUUGGUAGCGCGCUUGUCUGGGGGGCAAGAGGUCGUGGGUUCAAGUCCCGCUACU